rnacentral:rRNA from 1 species
CCUACGGGAGGCAGCAGUGGGGAAUCUUGGACAAUGGGGGCAACCCUGAUCCAGCCAUGCCGCGUGAGUGAAGAAGGCCCUAGGGUCGUAAAGCUCUUUCGCCUGUGAAGAUAAUGACGGUAGCAGGUAAAGAAACCCCGGCUAACUCCGUGCCAGCAGCCGCGGUAAUACGGAGGGGGUUAGCGUUGUUCGGAAUUACUGGGCGUAAAGCGCACGUAGGCGGACCAGAAAGUUGGGGGUGAAAUCCCGGGGCUCAACCCCGGAACUGCCUCCAAAACUAUUGGUCUAGAGUUCGAGAGAGGUGAGUGGAAUUCCGAGUGUAGAGGUGAAAUUCGUAGAUAUUCGGAGGAACACCAGUGGCGAAGGCGGCUCACUGGCUCGAUACUGACGCUGAGGUGCGAAAGUGUGGGGAGCAAACAGGAUUAGAUACCCUGGUAGUCCACACCGUAAACGAUGAAUGCCAGUCGUCGGGUUGCAUGCAAUUCGGUGACACACCUAACGGAUUAAGCAAUUCGCUUGGGGAGUACGGUCGCAAGAUUAAAACUCAAAGGAAUUGACGG